rnacentral:pre_miRNA from 1 species
GCGCGUGGAUGGUGUUCAGUACCAAGGACAGGUGUGUUUGCCUGCAUGUGGAUGGUGUUCAGCACCAAGGACAAGUAUGUCUAUCU